AUGAACGCUGGCGGCGUGCCUAAUACAUGCAAGUCGAGCGAACAGACGAGGAGCUUGCUCCUCUGACGUUAGCGGCGGACGGGUGAGUAACACGUGGAUAACCUACCUAUAAGACUGGGAUAACUUCGGGAAACCGGAGCUAAUACCGGAUAAUAUAUUGAACCGCAUGGUUCAAUAGUGAAAGACGGUUUUGCUGUCACUUAUAGAUGGAUCCGCGCCGCAUUAGCUAGUUGGUAAGGUAACGGCUUACCAAGGCAACGAUGCGUAGCCGACCUGAGAGGGUGAUCGGCCACACUGGAACUGAGACACGGUCCAGACUCCUACGGGAGGCAGCAGUAGGGAAUCUUCCGCAAUGGGCGAAAGCUUGACGGAGCAACGCCGCGUGAGUGAUGAAGGUCUUCGGAUCGUAAAACUCUGUUAUUGGGGAAGAACAAAUGUGUAAGUAACUAUGCACGUCUUGACGGUACCUAAUCAGAAAGCCACGGCUAACUACGUG
rnacentral:rRNA from 1 species